GGCUUAGUGGUAGAGCAUCUGCUUUGUGUGUGGAAGGUCCCAGGUUCAGUUGCUGGUAUCACCA
rnacentral:tRNA from 1 species